rnacentral:rRNA from 1 species
UCGGGAACCUUUGAGACAGGUGCUGCAUGGCUGUCGUCAGCUCGUGUCGUGAGAUGUUGGGUUAAGUCCCGUAACGAGCGCAACCCUUGUCCUUAGUUGCCAGCNCGUUNAUGNUGGACACCUNCAUAAGGGAAACGUGCACGGUGUGAUCAAAUGCGAGAGAGAAGGGUGGGAGAUGUGACUCUCAAGUCUCAUGGGCCCUUACGGCCUGGGCUACACACGUGCUACAAUGUCGGUACAGAGGGUUGCCAAGCCCGAGGUGGAGCUAAUCUCACNAAACCGAUCGUAGUCCGGANCGCAGUCUGCAACUCGACUGCGUGAAGUCGGAAUCGCUAGUAAUCGCGAAUCAGAAUGUCGCGGUGAAUAC